rnacentral:rRNA from 1 species
GGGGGGAAAAGAACCUUCCCUCCGCUUGACAUGCACUGGGGGACAAGUGGAAACAUCGGGCCCUUUUUGGGGCUCGUGCACAGGUGGUGCAUGGCUGUUGUCAGCUCGUGUUGUGAGAUGUUGGGUUAAGUCCCGCAACGAGCGCAACCCUCGUCCCUUGUUGCCAGCGGGUAAAGCCGGGGCCUUUUGGGGGGACGCCGGUGUCAAACCGGAGGGAAGUGGGGGAGGAGUUAAAUCAUCAUGGGCCCUACGUCCAGGGCUACACACCUGCUACAAAGGCCGGUACAAAGGGUCGCGAGACGGUGAGGGGGAGCCAAUCCCCAAAAGCCGGUCUCAGUUCGGAUUGGAGUCUGCAACUUGACUUCCUGAAGUCGGAAUCGCUAGUAAUCGCGGAUUCAGG